GUUGGAGAUUUGGGAUCGGAUGUUGCGCCAAGAGCGAGGGACCAAGGUGCUGAACUAACAGCAGGGGGGAGGGUGAUUCUUCAGGUACCAACAUAGCUGUCGACUAGAGAAUUUAGUUAACCGUUUGCUUUACUUGAAGCUCCAAAUUGUAGUUAUUUUAUUCGUUCACUAAUUUGGUAUAAUCCUAAUAUAGGAGGAUUAUGAUUGUAUGAUAUGAGAUCCUGACAUUUAGCAAUAAUAAAAGUCUGACACUGAAUGGUUCUUCUCGGAAGUACAGUUGUAAGAUCUAUGAUUCUAUCUUCGACCUUUAACUGGACAGUACUAAUUGGACAUAUAAUUGAUUAUUUAUGCACAACAAGAUAUUCUGUUUGUUUUAGUUUUUCAAUCAGAAUCAUCUAGCCCUUUGUUGACUUUCUAAUUGUUCCACGCUCUACCUCUGAAACUCAGAAAUCAGAUAAAGGUCAUUCGCAUAUCCCUAUCUCUGACGAAAAUUUGCUAGCGAGGAAGAGGACCAGAAUGUUUUUUCUAUUGUUGGGGAUAUACAUAAUACAUAUAGAUAAAUUUAGACCAUUUAUAACAGAUAUUUCUUGCCAAAAAUAUUAACUCUGUCCAGCAGUGGGCACUGUCAAGGUAAUAACAGGAAUUUGCUGAACCUAAUUGAAAGAAAGAGGGAUGGUAAUCCGAUUGAGAACAUUCUCUAACUAAAAUAGACUUACGAACAAUCAACAAUAUCAAAUUGUUUGAUUAAAAUACUGAUUUAAGAAUUUGGCGAAUCUAUAAUUCUCUACAUAAUCACUUGGUGCAUUGUUAGACCACUUGGGGACAAUAUCAUCAAUUUCUUGCAUACUGCAAUAAUGCAAGUUUAAAAAGCCAGUUUCUUAUGUUUCUUAUUAUCUCUGUGUUCAGCUAACUGCCAAGAAUCAUAUAAGGAUGCAUCUAAUGAGGUAGAUUUUGUUUAUGCAUUUUUUAAGUGUAGGGAUGCUGUAUCUGAUUAACAAAACAUUGUUCAACCUUCUAUGAGUCCACCUAGGGAGCUGCAUAAAUUUGGAACAACUUCCAGAACAGGCAUCCAAGCAUUUUGGUCUGCUACCAGUAAGCUGCCAGUGCAAGAUAGCUGGGAGUCUGGGAUGUCGAGUCGUCGAGCCGUCCAAUGCCAAGUUCGCCAGCGGAAGGAGAACAUCUGUCAAGCCGUCCGUCGCCUGAGGCGGCUACACCAGAGGUAUGUCUCCUCUUGAAAGUUAAUCGCCUGAGCUGUCCAUCGCCUGAGCCAUCCAUCGCCUGAGCCCCUGUUUCAGUUUAUUUUUUCCACCUCGCUGCUCAACAGGUCCGUGGGUUACUACUCCUUUGCUCUUGCUGGUGACCGGCCUCAAGAGUAGCACUUGCUUGAGAUCUGAUCUAGAACUGAAUUGUGCCCUGCUUUGCUGUGGUCAUAUGCUCUGCGUCCACCGAUGAGUUUCAGAUACAGAUUAGGACCAAAAUUGGAGUAGGUUCAGUCACGCAAAUGUUGUAUCACUUUGUCAUGGGUAUUGUGCUGCUGAAUUGCUUGUUGGACUGUUCAAACUAAAGUCGUCCAGUCAGUUUGCUACAAUGUCCAUUUGUUUACUUUGGAAGUUCUGUAGAAUUUGGGCCUGGUCACUUUCGAAUUGUCUGUGGUUUGUGAUUAAUCUUUCCGAGAUGUUAGAGAGUGGGUCCAAUGAUGGAUCUGCCCAUCAGUGUGCAGAGGAUCUUCUAAUUCCUGCAGCUAAUCUUGAUUCAUGGAUAUUGUGUUUGCUCUGUGACGCACUAUGUUUCAGUUUAUUUUUUCUGAAAAAUUGGCGCUACUUCUGAUUGCUCACAAUUUAAGUUUUGCUGAUAUACACUGGAGGCAUUAAACCAACAACUUUCUCUGUUUUUUUAUGCAUGCUGCUACAAAUACAAGCACACUGCUUACAAACACACGGCUUCUGCUGGCUUGGCUAGCUUUGUACGUCCACUUUGCGCUACAAGUCGCCUUUCUACGAUGUCUUACAAUCUCAUAGUACAGACCGUGCUCCACCUGAGGUACGCCCGAUCUCAUGCCAAGCUAACUACGGUUCUGUCGUUUUGGAAAAGGCAUGAAC
rnacentral:lncRNA from 1 species